GAAAUUGGGUUUCUCAAUUUCUCUUUUCUUUGAAUUUCUCUCCAAUUUCUUUUCUCUCAUUCACCCUAGCCACCCAUCAAAUUUGAUGGGCGGUUAAGAACUUAGGAGCACAAGGGUUGCUGUGCUCCUAAUAGCACAGUAGCCCUUCUCUCUCUCUCUCUAUAUAUAUAUAUAGAAUUUUUCUACUAUACUAUUAAUAGUACUAACCGCUAGCUAUUUGAAUUUCGGCCCUUGGAUAAAGAGAUGUGCGGUUAGGAUGAUAAUGAUUCUCUAGAGUUGAGUGAGUAGUUAGUUGAAUAGUAUGAUUUAAUAGAUAGAAAUGAUCAAAAGGAUAAAUCUAACAGCACAAAAUUUGAUAAUAUCGCUUGGUACUAUUGAUAAUAUAAUAGUAAAACUCUAUAUAUAGUAAUAUAUAGAAUUCGACUACUAUACUAUCAAUAGUACCAAAUGUUUUAUGCUAUCAAGUUUUCUGUUGUUAGAUUUACUUGUAGAUAUAGAGUCCGGCUAUUAUACUAUCGAUAGUACUAAGCAUUUAGUGCUAACGAGUCUUCUGCCGUUAGAUCUACCCAUUUGACUAUUUCCACCUGUUAAAUCAUAUUAUUCAGCCAAGAAAUAAAGACUCUUAGUAUUCUAUGUUAGCAAGUUUUUUAACAUUCUCAACAGAAAAUUUUAAGUUGUAAUGAAUAAGAAAUAGUAGUUGUUACAAAGUGCUUGGAAUUUGAAAAGGGUUAAUAUAAAUUGGAUAUUAAAAUUAGAAAAAUAAUAUAGAAAAGUUAGAUGAAGAUUUUUAGUGAUGAUUAGAUACCCAUGCAGUCAAAUAGGAAAGUAAUAAAAAUAGAAAAAUGAAUGGUAAUGACAAUAUUAGCCUAUAGAAUAAAAAAAAAUAUUUGGUGGGUAAUAAAGAUUAUUAAUUAAC
rnacentral:lncRNA from 1 species